rnacentral:rRNA from 1 species
GUUGCAGUUAAAAAGCUCGUAGUCGGAUUUCAGUAUUAGGCCCUUCUUCCAAUACGGUUGCUAGUGGUCUUUACUUCCUUAACAGAAUCUUUCAUCUCAUUAAUUUGGGGUGUUUGGGGCCUGUUUCUUUUACUUUGAGAAAAUUAGAGUGUUCAAAGCGGGUUUUCGCCUGGAUAUUACUCUUGGAAUAAUAAUAUAGGACUUUGGUUCUUUUUUGUUGGUGACUUAGAACCGAAGUAAUGAUUGAUAGGGACAGUUGGGGUCAUUCGUACUAUGAAGCGAGAGGUGAAAUUCAUGGACCUUUGUAUGACGAACUACUGCGAAAGCAUUUGACUAGGAUGUUCCCGUUGAUCAAGAACGAAAGUUGGGGGAUCGAAGACGAUCAGAUACCGUCGUAGUCUCAACCAUAAACUAUGCCAGCUAGGGAUUGGAGGAAUAU